rnacentral:tRNA from 1 species
ACCCCAGCACUCCCCCUGGGAAAAAGCA